rnacentral:rRNA from 1 species
GAUAAACGCUGGCGGCGUGCUUAACACAUGCAAGUCGAACGAAGUUUUUCCUUCGGGAGAAACUUAGUGGCGGACGGGUGAGUAACGCGUGGGUAACCUGCCCUGUACAGGGGGACAACAGCUGGAAACGGCUGCUAAUACCGCAUAAGCCCUUAGCACUGCAUGGUGCAUAGGGAAAAGGAGCAAUCCGGUACAGGAUGGACCCGCGUCUGAUUAGCCAGUUGGCAGGGUAACGGCCUACCAAGGCGACGAUCAGUAGCCGAUCUGAGAGGAUGUACGGCCACAUUGGGACUGAGACACGGCCCAGACUCCUACGGGAGGCAGCAGUGGGGAAUAUUGCACAAUGGAGGAAACUCUGAUGCAGCGACGCCGCGUGAGUGAAGAAGUAUUUCGGUAUGUAAAGCUCUAUCAGCAGGGAAGAAAAUGACGGUACCUGACUAAGAAGCACCGGCUAAAUACGUG